rnacentral:rRNA from 1 species
UACGGAGGGGGCUAGCGUUGUUCGGAUUUAUUGGGCGUAAAGGGUGCGUAGGCGGCGGAGUAAGUUGGGUGUGAAAUCCCGGGGCUCAACCUCGGAAUUGCAUUCAAUACUGCUUCGCUCGAGUACUGGAGAGGAGGCUGGAAUUUACGGUGUAGCAGUGAAAUGCGUAGAUAUCGUAAGGAAGGCCGGUGGCGAAAGCGAGCCUCUGGACAGUUACUGACGCUGAUGCACGAAGGCCAGGGGAGCAAACGGG